CUCCGCGGGCGGGCGGGCGGACAUGGCGGCCAACAUGUACCGGGUCGGAGAUUAUGUCUACUUUGAGAAUUCCUCCAGUAACCCGUAUCUAAUCAGAAGGAUAGAAGAACUCAACAAGACUGCAACUGGCAACGUGGAAGCAAAAGUAGUGUGCUUUUAUAGACGACGAGAUAUUUCGAACACGCUUAUAAUGCUUGCAGACAAGCAUGCUAAAGAAAUUGAGGAAGAAUCGGAAACCACAAUUGAAGCCGACUUAACGGAUAAACAGAAGCAUCAGCUAAAACAUAGGGAGCUCUUCUUGUCUCGCCAGUAUGAAUCUCUGCCUGCAACGCAUAUCAGGGGAAAAUGCAGUGUUGCCCUUCUGAAUGAGACAGAGUCAGUAUUGUCGUAUCUUGAUAAAGAGGACACCUUUUUCUACUCAUUGGUCUAUGACCCUUCAGUGAAAACACUGUUAGCUGACAAAGGUGAAAUCAGAGUGGGGCCUAGAUAUCAAGCAGACAUUCCAGAGAUGCUCUUAGAAGGAGAGUCAGAUGAGAGGGAACAGUCCAAAUUGGAAGUUAAAGUUUGGGAUCCAAAUAGCCCACUUACGGAUCGACAGAUUGACCAGUUCUUAGUUGUAGCACGUGCCGUGGGGACAUUCGCUCGAGCCCUUGAUUGUAGCAGUUCUGUGAGGCAGCCAAGUCUGCAUAUGAGCGCAGCUGCGGCGUCUCGAGACAUCACCCUGUUUCACGCUAUGGAUACAUUGUAUAGGCACAGCUAUGAUUUGAGCAGUGCAAUUAGUGUCUUAGUACCACUUGGAGGACCUGUGUUAUGCAGAGAUGAAAUGGAAGAGUGGUCAGCCUCUGAAGCUAGUUUAUUUGAAGAGGCACUGGAAAAAUAUGGCAAAGACUUCAAUGACAUACGUCAAGACUUUCUCCCUUGGAAAUCAUUGACUAGCAUCAUUGAAUAUUAUUACAUGUGGAAAACUACUGACAGAUACGUGCAGCAGAAACGUCUAAAAGCAGCAGAAGCCGAGAGUAAACUGAAGCAAGUGUAUAUCCCAACUUACAGCAAACCAAAUCCCAACCAAAUAUCUGCCAGCAAUGGCAAACCUGGUGCUGUGAAUGGAGCCGUGGGGACCACAUUCCAGCCACAGAAUCCCCUCCUAGGGCGAGCCUGUGAGAGCUGCUACGCUACACAGUCUCAUCAGUGGUAUUCUUGGGGCCCACCUAAUAUGCAGUGUAGAUUGUGUGCAACCUGUUGGCUCUAUUGGAAAAAAUACGGAGGCCUGAAAAUGCCCACCCAGUCAGAGGAAGAGAAGUUAUUGCCCAGCCCAACGACAGAGGACCCCCGUGUUAGGAGUCACAUGUCUCGCCAGGCCAUGCAGGGGAUGCCAGUCCGAAACACGGGGAGCCCAAAGUCUGCAGUGAAGACUCGCCAAGCUUUCUUCCUUCACACUACGUAUUUCACAAAAUUUGCUCGUCAGGUCUGCAAAAAUACCCUCCGGCUGCGGCAGGCAGCAAGACGGCCGUUUGUUCCUAUUAAUUAUGCUGCCAUUAGGGCAGAAUAUGCAGACAGACAUGCCGAGCUAUCUGGAAGUCCACUGAAAAGCAAAAGCACUAGGAAACCUUUGGCAUGUAUCAUUGGGUAUUUAGAGAUCCAUCCUUCGAAGAAACCUAAUGUAAUUCGAACUACGCCAAGCCUGCAGACCCCCACUACCAAGCGGAUGCUAGCCACCCCGAAUCACACGUCUCUGAGCAUUUUGGGGAAAAGAAACUACAGUCAUCACAAUGGCCUGGAUGAAAGGCUCAUGAAGUGAAGGCCCAGCUCUGUUCCAUCCUGCAGACCUUCCUCAGGAUGGCGGGAGGCUGUGAAGAACUCACGUGCUGCGUGUCGGACUGAGCUAACCCUAUUUCAUACUAUAAGCCAAGACUCGCUACACUGUCCUGCUGAUGUUCGCAGUCGUGCCUGGGAAGGAGGCAGCCCCAUUUCCAGCACAUUUCAGUGGGAGACCUACACAUGUGCCCCCUGGAGACUCGGUGGGGCAGGGGAAGAAACUGUGGGAGUGCACGUCCCCAAAGCCGCGUCUCAAUGUGUGAAUCCGUGUCACCUCGCUUUCCUCUCAGAGACUUCACUGUCCCAUAGCGGGACCUACCUGAAAAUGGAGGGGACAAGGGGGCCCUCAGUCUCCUCCUUCUCCAGCACUCCAUUCCCAGGCACCGCGGCUCCUCGGGCAGCGGAGCGCCUGGGAGCUCAGAGCUGCUGCUGCCCUGCAUGCGUCAGCUCAGCCCUAUUGUCAGCGCCAUGACGGUCUACAGGAGGGACAUGGCCGCUUUCUGAAUGGAUUUUUCUUAAGAAAAGUGCCAGUGUUUAUGCAGUUCAUGAUAUCCCCCUCUCCUUACCAUUACUGUCACUUGGCUUUUUCUCAAUAGGCUUCAUCUUCGUUUUUUUUUUUUUUAAUGAGGAAGUUUUGCUGUCACCCCUCUGUCCUAUAUUUGGCUUCCCCUCCUCUACCCUUCCUAGGUACAGAAUUAUGAGAUUCUGACAAAAAAAAAAAAAAAAUAAGAAAAUCAUCUUCGGUAAGCCUGCGAACUCUUCAUAUCAUCUGUAUUUUAUUGUUGGAGAGAGGCUGGUGUUCUACUAGGUGCUGCCCGGUCCCAGACAGCCCAAGCAAAAGCAGGUGUUGAAACCGAGCUGAGUGUCUAUCACUGUGACAAGCCAUUCGCGUACUGCCCUGUUCCCUGACAGCCAAGCCAGCCGCCGAGCAACCACCGCCAGGUUAGUCCUUCAACGAGUCGCAAAUCACCCAGGUUUAUUUUAAGCAGAUGAAAUCUGUUUGGCCUCGGAGGGUGAAAUGAGAGAUGUGUGUUUGCAGGUGAGUGUGUAUAUAUGACACCACGAGCCCCCCCACCCUUCCAGUCCAGACAUUUCUGUGAACACACAUGCCUAGGCCCCGGGAGAUGUGCCUGUGACCCAGUUUUCACUGGCUUUGGGCUCUUCCUGUCUGCCCUCAGCACCAGCCCUUGCUGGCCGCACAGGCUGGCCAUUCUGCAGCUCUGUGCACACAGCUUCAGGCGUGUGAAUAACUUAGUGCCCCCACAACUCCCCUGAGCAGAUAGGAGCCUGGCCACUCCCUUGUCCUCCAUUUGCAGGGACAGGCCGCAGGGCACAGGCUCACAGCACCGUGAAAGGAAACCGGAGUCUGGCCUUAGAGCUGUCCCUGGGGUCUGUAGCCGGAUGGCCAAACAGCCAGGUGGUCGCAGGACAGAAUGACUACCAUUGAGUUGACACUCCCCAGCCCCCCAC